AUCCCGGGGCUCAACCCCGGAACUGCCUUUGAUACUGCUAGUCUUGAGUUCGAGAGAGGUGAGUGGAAUUGCGAGUGUAGAGGUGAAAUUCGUAGAUAUUCGCAGGAACACCAGUGGCGAAGGCGGCUCACUGGCUCGAUACUGACGCUGAGGUGCGAAAGUGUGGGGAGCAAACAGGAUUAGAUACCCUGGUAGUCCACACCGUAAGCGAUGAAUGCCAGUCGUCGGGCAGUAUACUGUUCGGUGACACACCUAACGGAUUAAGCAUUCCGCCUGGGGAGUACGGCCGCAAGGUUAAAACUCAAAUGAAUUGACGGGGGCCCGCACAAGCGGUGGAGCAUGUGGUUUAAUUCGAUGCAACGCGAAGAACCUUACCUACUCUUGACAUCCAGAGAACUUUCCAGAGAUGGAUUGGUGCCUUCGGGAACUCUGAGACAGGUGCUGCAUGGCUGUCGUCAGCUCGUGUUGUGAAAUGUUGGGUUAAGUCCCGCAACGAGCGCAACCCUUAUCCUUGUUUGCCAGCACGUAAUGGUGGGAACUCCAGGGAGACUGCCGGUGAUAAACCGGAGGAAGGUGGGGACGACGUCAAGUCAUCAUGGCCCUUACGAGUAGGGCUACACACGUGCUACAAUGGCAGAUACAGAGGGCAGCGAAGCUGCGAAGUGGAGCGAAUCCCUUAAAGUUUGUCGUAGUCCGGAUUGGAGUCUGCAACUCGACUCCAUG
rnacentral:rRNA from 1 species